GGCAGCAAUCAAGGGAACAGCAUCAAAUCCAGUCACUCUAGUAUUGCCUCCCUCGAUCCUCGAUCACUCGCCUGGACUCGGACCUUGUUUGCUUGCCGCCUGCCCUCGACUCCCUACCUGUCCCCGGAUCUUCCUUGUGCCUAAUCCUCCUUGGGGCGGCAUAGCUCGGUUGGUAGAGUGACCGUGUCAGCAACUUGAGAGUUGCAGGUUCGAUUCCCGCUUGUGCCAUCCUAGUUACUGCCGUUCUGUCCUUGGGCAAGACACUUUACCCACCUGCUUCCAGUGCCACCCACACUGGUUUAAAUGUAACUUAGAUAUUGGGUGUCACUAUGUAAAGCGCUUUGAGUCACUAGAGAAAAGCGCUAUAUAAAUAUAAUUCACUUCACUUCACUUCGCUUGUCCUGACAAAAGUUUCAUUCAACACGCAUGCACAACAUCCUCUUGUUUCAUUCACAUGGUUAACUUCACACUUAAUCCUGCAACCAAUACUAAGAGUAGCAUACACAUCCCACACAAUCAUCAUAGGUUACAAUAAACCUGGUAACCUCACGUCUUUCGUGGUGUCGUCUCCUUCCAGUCUUCACGUACAAAACAGUACGUUCCGGCCAACCAUGUCGGAACCAGACGACACCCCCCCAGUCGAGACUCGCUCCCCAGACUCGGAGCCCACGAAGCCCGGACUUGGAGGUAAUGUGCUCUGUUCUUAAGACACAUCAGACUCGUUUUGAAGCGCUCGAGGAAAAUGUACAAGACGCCUUCGCCAAGUUGUAUAAUAAGUUGGACCAGUUAGGCCCCAGACCUUCUCAAGACUUGGUAACAGGACAGCAUGCUACACCAGCUACUAGCUCAGCUAGCGCUUCUCUUAGCCGGGAGCCCAAGAUUGCUAGUCCUAGCACUUUUAAGGGUAAUUUCGAACUAUGUAGGGGUUUUUUGGUGCAGUGCGAGUUAAUUUUUUUGCACCAACCCUCACGCUACGUUACUGAUGGGGAAAAAAUAGCAUUUAUUUUUUCGCUGCUUACCGGACCCGCUCUCAAGUGGGCUACUGCAGCUUUGGACAAGUCACUAGGCCUUGGCACCGACUACUCAGCUUUUCGGUCCAAAUUUUUGGCCGUGUUUGACCACCCCAAGGAUGGGGGUAAUGCCGCAGGACGUCUGCACACCAUCCAACAAGGAACUCGCUCAGUGGCAGCUUGCACCCUCGAGUUUCGGACCAUUGCGGCAGAGAGCGGCUGGAACUAAAGCGCUCCAAAGUGCGUUUCGUCAGGGACUCUCUGAGGAAAUUAAGGACAGUCUGCUGAGGGAUAGACCAACCUCUUGCAGAGCCCUCAUCGACUUGGCCCUUCAGUACGACCAGAGACUAGUUGAGCGAGCAACCGAGAGAUCCCGGAGCGUCCCCAGAAGAAACCAGACCACGACUCCUUCUUCCGUCUUCCAGCCAUUUGGAGGACAACCGAACCCAUUACCAGUUGCGGUUCCUACGCCCGAAACCAUGCAAGUGGGUAGAACCCGUUUGGGGACGGAGGAGAGGGAGAGAAGGAUGAGGCAACGUCUCUGUCUGUACUGUGGGGGCGCAGGACACAUUAUCUGCUACUGUCCGUCCCUGGAAAAAGA